GACGAACCGUCCAAACGUUAUUCGGAUUUACUGGGCUUAAAGGGUGCGUAGGCGGUGUAGUAAGUCAGGUGUGAAAUCCCACGGCUCAACCGUGGAACUGCGCUUGAUACUGCAGUGCUUGAGGGAGACAGAGGUAAGCGGAACUGAUGGUGGAGCGGUGAAAUGCGUUGAUAUCAUCAGGAACACCAGUGGCGAAAGCGGCUUACUGGGUCUCUUCUGACGCUGAGGCACGAAAGUUAGGGUAGCGAACGGG
rnacentral:misc_RNA from 1 species